CUCUACCAUUUUCUAAAACCGUAGCCGCAACCUUACUUUCCUUCCCUGCUAUUUGAGCGCUCCGCCGUUUUUCAGCCUCAGAAUCCUUGCCUAAACUCCGAUCGUGACGAAGCAACAAGGAUUCCAGGCGAUAUUAAGGCGUUUGUUGCGAGUGCAGGUACGGAGGUGUGCGGGUCUGGUGUGUGCAGAGGUGUGUGGCGUGGCUCGGCUCGGAGGCGCACGUGGGGAGGCCACACAUGGGGGCUUGCGGCAGCUGAGAUCCUAAAAACCCUAGGGUUUCUGGUUUGCUUGGUACUGGGCCAUCGGGCCAGGGAUAGCCAAUGGGCUGGUGUUGGAUAUUUGGAACUUGGGUUUAGGGUCUGUAUAGAGCCUCUGCAAUUGGGCUAAUGUUACUGUUUUUGGACUUUAAAUUUUUCUUUUGUAUUAUUUGGUUUGCAGGCCCGGGCAAAUAUUGGGCCUUACAAAAGCAAUAAUAUCACUUUUGCACAA